UGCGGUCCGAUCUACAGACUCCCGCAGGAAACCUCGCCAGCGGUGACGGUGACCUGGGCCGCUUCGCAGGUCCGCGCAGGGAGGCCUGAGUCUGGAGGCAGGGCCCGGGGGCUCGUGGCAGCGCUAGUUCAGACCUCAACAAAGGAAAUGGAGGGCUUUUGGAGAGAGCGUGAAGGGGAGGAGGUGCAGGAUGGAGACAUUCUUCUUCUGUGCGCUCAUCUAAACAGAUUGAGUUAAAAGCUGUACUGAGCGGUGCGGCCGAGCUCCUUUGGUGGUUUUAUUGACUCAUUGGGUCUUGACCGCCACGUCAUUCAUUGCUUCUGUGGAGUUUUCCAGCUUUGCUCUGCGACAUUAUUUAGGGUUUCUUCCAUUCAACAGAACCCCUGUGUUUCCGCAUGCUGCCCGGAUGUCCAAGCAAAGCCACGAGUCAAAGGAGGUGUGUUUGUUCCAGGUAACCACAGGAUAGUGUGGGUCGGAAAAAUCCUGUUUACUCCUGAAAGCCACACUACUGCAGCUGCUCACUGGGAACAAGCGGCAAAUCCAGGGAAGUCAAGCGCUUAGUCACUGGUUGGACGACACAAUAGUCUUGGCGCUUGACAUGAGAAUGAGAAAGACUCUGAAUUCUCCACAGCACAUUGUCUGGAGAGACCUCUGCACACUGUAAUGAAGAAUGAAUUCCUCUGUUUAUGAUGGAUUCACUCAGCCAUCCUGGAAAUCAAAAGAAGGAUGUGAGGAUCGGUUCAUGAUCUCGCUGUGUGUCGGUGUGUUAAAGGUUCAGAUUAUAUUUACACUGCAGACCUCAUUCAGUGACAGGAAAGCUGGAAGUGUUUAGCUGCUAGAAGGAUCCUGAAUCCAAUUCAGUUUUGUCACUCAAUGUAAAGGUCAGUGCUUUUGACAUGAUUACAACCAUAUUCAUCAGGUCUCAUGACUUCUUUCUUGUUUACCGUGACCUUCCAGCCCUCUCCACUUCCACCAGCUAUUUAGAUUAACGCUGAAUGACAACGGAUCGUAUAGCGAUCUUUGCUGUUACAACUAACAGAACUUGACUCACAAACGGUGGUCGACCCAUAUGGGUUUCUCAUAGACAUAAUUGCUGAAACUAAAUGAACGUUUAUUUGAUUCAAAUUCAUUCAGGAAUAUUCAAGGGGGAAAAAAGUCAGACUUCCAUAUUCUAUCAUAAAGUAAAGACAAACCUCGCCAGCUACCAUUAGGAGUAUAGGGAUAGUAUAGUAUACUUUCCUAGGAUCGUCACUAAUGAAUGGUGGGACUAACUCUUGGGGACGAACGCGCCACCUCCUCUCCUCAACGCUCUGCCCAACAGAGAAUAAGGGGCCCAAUAGCAAUAUAAAUUCACAGACCCAGAAUUCCCAAGCAAUGGCCAUUAUUCCUUACAUUAGAAUUCAAAUGGCAAUUCUGCUUCCUGUUUGCUGCUUCCAUACAAUUGUGAAUGUCGUACAGCCUUGUUAAGUGUAGUUUUAUGGUUCAUUGGGUAUGAUUAAAUGUGUUCAUUUAAAAUUAUUGUUUUAACAUGUUAUAUCGUCAGCCCUGGUCUAUACACUUAUUU